rnacentral:lncRNA from 1 species
GGGCUUGGGAUCGAGGACUGAGGAGCAUAGGAUCUUAGAGGAUUUCACUUAGUUUAUUUUUGAAUAAAUAGUUGGAUCUUGAUUAUGAUGAGAUAUUAAUGAACUAUAUUUAAUUUAAAUAAAAAUUAUUAGAUUGACUUUCACUACUACCUGAGUUGGAUUGAUGAUUGAUAAAAAGACAGGCGUUGCAUAUUCUUUAGGGCCUUGCCC